rnacentral:rRNA from 1 species
CUAUACAUGCAAGUCGAGCGGACAGAUGGGAGCUUGCUCCCUGAUGUUAGCGGCGGACGGGUGAGUAACACGUGGGUAACCUGCCUGUAAGACUGGGAUAACUCCGGGAAACCGGGGCUAAUACCGGAUGCUUGUUUGAACCGCAUGGUUCAAACAUAAAAGGUGGCUUCGGCUACCACUUACAGAUGGACCCGCGGCGCAUUAGCUAGUUGGUGAGGUAACGGCUCACCAAGGCGACGAUGCGUAGCCGACCUGAGAGGGUGAUCGGCCACACUGGGACUGAGACACGGCCCAGACUCCUACGGGAGGCAGCAGUAGGGAAUCUUCCGCAAUGGACGAAAGUCUGACGGAGCAACGCCGCGUGAGUGAUGAAGGUUUUCGGAUCGUAAAGCUCUGUUGUUAGGGAAGAACAAGUGCCGUUCAAAUAGGGCGGCACCUUGACGGUACCUAACCAGAAAGCCACGGCUAACUACGUGCCAGCAGCCGCGGUAAUACGUAGGUGGCAAGCGUUGUCCGGAAUUAUUGGGCGUAAAGGGCUCGCAGGCGGUUUCUUAAGUCUGAUGUGAAAGCCCCCGGCUCAACCGGGGAGGGUCAUUGGAAACUGGGGAACUUGAGUGCAGAAGAGGAGAGUGGAAUUCCACGUGUAGCGGUGAAAUGCGUAGAGAUGUGGAGGAACACCAGUGGCGAAGGCGACUCUCUGGUCUGUAACUGACGCUGAGGAGCGA